GGUUGUAUAGUGUAGCGGUUAUCACACCAGAUUCUGAACUAAGACUUCUGGUGACCCCGGUUCGAUUCCGGGUACGACCU